rnacentral:rRNA from 1 species
GAUGAACGCUGGCGGCGUGCUUAACACAUGCAAGUCGAACGGUGAACGAGGGAGCUUGCUCCCUCCGGAUCAGUGGCGAACGGGUGAGUAACACGUGAGCAAUCUGCCCUGGACUCUGGGAUAAGCGUUGGAAACGACGUCUAAUACCGGAUACGAGGCGUGGGGGCAUCCCCAACGCCUGGAAAGAACUUCGGUCCAGGAUGAGCUCGCGGCCUAUCAGGUAGUUGGUGAGGUAACGGCUCACCAAGCCUACGACGGGUAGCCGGCCUGAGGGGGUGAACGGGCACAAUGGGACUGAGACACGGCCCAGACUCCUACGGGAGGCAGCAGUGGGGAAUAUUGCACAAUGGGCGCAAGCCUGAUGCAGCAACGCCGCGUGAGGGACGACGGCCUUCGGGUUGUAAACCUCUUUUAGCAGGGAAGAAGCGAAAGUGACGGUACCUGCAGAAAAAGCACCGGCUAACUACGUGCCAGCCGCCGCAGUAACAC